rnacentral:rRNA from 1 species
UACGUAGGGUGCGAGCGUUAAUCGGAAUACUGGGCGUAAAGCGUGCGCAGGCGGUGAUGUAAGACAGUUGUGAAAUCCCCGGGCUCAACCUGGGAACUGCAUCUGUGACUGCAUCGCUGGAGUGCGGCAGAGGGGGAUGGAAUUCCGCGUGUAGCAGUGAAAUGCGUAGAUAUGCGGAGGAACACCGAUGGCGAAGGCAAUCCCCUGGGCC